AAUCAACGCUGGCGGCGUGCCUCAGACAUGCAAGUCGAACGCGAAAGUCCCCUUCGGGGAGUGAUUAGAGUGGCGCACGGGUGAGUAACACGUAGGUAAUCUACCUUCGAGUGGGGAAGUAAACUCAGGGAAACGUUGAGCUAAUACCGCAUAAUGCAGCGGCACCACAUGGUGACAGUUGUUAAAGCAUUUAUGCGCUUGAAGAGGAGCCUGCGGCGGAUAGCUAGUUGGUAAGGUAAUGGCUUACCAAGGCUACGAUCUGUAACCGGCCUGAGAGGGCGGACGGUCACACUGACACUGAAUAACGGGUCAGACUCCUACGGGAGGCAGCAGUCGGGAAUUUUUGGGCAAUGGGCGAAAGCCUGACCCAGCAACGCCGCGUGAAGGAUGAAAUCUUUCGGGA
rnacentral:rRNA from 1 species